rnacentral:rRNA from 1 species
ACCCUCGACCCCGAGGAGAUUUGCAGCAUAGAUUAAGCUUAGCGCCCUGGGUUCGCGCGAGCGAAAGCAGACGAGGCGGAUCAGGAACACCGCAGUCUCUCGCUCUCGCCGCAACCGGACACGCCAUUUUCUUUCUUUUCCUCCGCUCUCCUCUCCUUUUCCACUGGCUGUUUGUUGUUUCAUUGCACACCGACCAGUACGCCCCCCCGCGCCGCAUACAUACAAGCCGCACAACACCACUCUAGCAUCAACUCCCAGCAGUAGCCUUCACUUCAGUAACCCCCACAGGCCUCCGGUGAUUCGGUCCGGGGACACCCGACCCGAGCAAGCUCGCCGUGGUGAGUGAGCAGCGGCAUUGCUCCCUCGGUUCCGUUCAUCCGUUGGGGGAGCGGCUUUCGGUCCAGGCCGAGCCGGAUUCGUGCGUGAUCCCCGGCAGGCGAGAUUGGCGGCGGCGUUCCCCUCUUGCCGCCCGCCUGGCGCUCGAUUCGGUCCCAGAUUUGGGGGCUUCCCUGUUCCGAGUCCGGGAUUCCGUCGAACCCAGCGGCAAAUCGGUUCCAGAUUUGAGGAGCUUUCCUUGCGCGGCGACGCCACCUUCCAUACCAGGCCCCAUAAGAGAAGCGGAGCUCAGGAGCGGAUAAAUUCGAUCCUGCUGCUUCGCGUUCAGGGCCCUCUCCGGCUUGCUAUGAGACAAUGAGGGAAGAGAGCAACAAGAAGACCAAGGUCUCCUGGUCCAAAUCCCUCGUCAGGAAGUGGUUCAACAUCAAGGGCAAGGCGCAGGAUUUCCACGCGGACUACGACGCCACCACCCAAGGACGGGAUGGUGGUGAUGAACGGAGGACCAGCUGCUCGCAGAGGGACGCAGGCGCUGCCAAGAAAAGCAGAACUGACCGGUCGUUGAAGCGGAAUGUCGAUCGCGCUCGUAGAUCAAGGAAUGAGUUUGAUGUGUCACGCCUGACUGAAGCUCAGGAUUACAGAAUCUUUGCCUCGACUUGGAAUGUUGGUGGUAAAUGCCCAUCAAGGGGGUUGGAUUUAGAUGACUGGCUCCAUUCUUCACCCCCUGCUGAUAUCUAUGUGCUCGGAUUUCAAGAAAUUGUUCCUUUGAAUGCUGGUAAUGUUCUUGGUACCGAAGACAAUGUUCCAGCAAAGAAGUGGGUAUCACUUAUUAGGAGGACACUGAACAAAAACCCUGGGCCUAGCAGUCAUGGUGGCUAUCGCACGCCAUCCCCUGUCCCUGAUCCGGUUGUGGAACUAGAUGCUGAUUUUGAGGGAUCAUUGAGAAGACAGGAUAGCUCAUCGUUUUUCCACCGUCGAUCAUUCCAGAACCUUAGUCGGAGUUUAAGGGUUUCAGGAAACGAUAUGUUCUCACAACCAAGAUUGGACCGUAGGUUUAGUGUGUGUGGCCCAGUUAACAUUGGAGGCAGACCAAGUGAUUUUGAUGGAAAUUUCCAGUGUAUCGGAUCACCAGGCGAUGAAUAUAUGGACGAGGAUAUAAGUAAUGGAGCAUAUUUUUCACCAUUCCCAUAUGGCUAUGGUACUUCAACACCUAUGGAAGAAGAUGAUGAGCAGCCAAAUACUUCUAGGUAUUGUUUGGUUGCCAGCAAACAGAUGGUUGGCAUAUUUCUCACAGUUUGGGUACGCAGUGAAAUAAGAAAUGAUAUUAGAAACCUGAAAGUUUCCUGCGUAGGUAGAGGACUAAUGGGUUAUCUUGGAAACAAGGGUUCUAUAUCAAUAAGCAUGUCUUUGCAUCAUACAACCUUCUGUUUUGUCUGUUGUCAUUUGACCUCUGGGGAAAAGGAGGGAGAUGAAUUGCGCAGAAAUUCUGAUGUCAUGGAGAUCUUAAGGAAGACAAGGUUUCCUCGUGUCCGCGGAUGUGGCGAUGUUAAGUCACCGGAGACAAUUCUUGAGCACGACCGUAUCUUAUGGCUUGGUGAUUUGAAUUACCGGAUUUCUCUUCCAUACUCGUCAGCAAAAGUUCUGGUUGAAACACAUAACUGGAGGCAACUGUUGGAGAGAGAUCAGCUUCGUAUAGAGCGGAGAUGCGGACAUGUUUUCCUAGGAUGGAAAGAAGGAAGGAUUUAUUUUCCUCCAACAUAUAAAUACUCUUUCAACUCAGACCGGUAUUCUGGUUAUGGUGUGCGUCCCAAGGAAAAGAGGCGAACGCCAGCUUGGUGUGAUCGUAUUUUGUGGCAUGGUACCGGCCUCAUUCAGUUAUCAUAUGUCCGAGGAGAAUCACGCUUCUCCGACCACAGACCAGUGUACAGUAUUUUUAUGGCGGAGGUUGAAAUUCUCCACCAGAGGAGAAGAAACAUGGGCUAUUUCAGUUCUAGAGUUGAGGUGGAAGAACUGUUGCCGUAUGCUCACAGCCAUGGAAACAUAAAGUUCUACUAAUUCAGGCGAUUCCAUGCUACAAGCUGAUCGGUCCUCACCGAUGAAUAACUUGGUUGCAAGAUCUGUUGGAUGACCAGAUGUGAAUGUGCAAUAUUUUUCCAUCUGUUUUUAACAUUUUAGUAACUGCCGAGAUGUAAAGCCUAGGAGAGAUGCGUGGGGAACAUAUAGCUGCAGAAGCUAACAUAGAGGAUAGCUGGGCAAUUUUGCAACUAACAAUUUGCCCGCGGUGGCGAUCGGCUUUGUUCAUCGGAAGAAUCGGCCAGCUCACAUCACUGACUAUACAACUCAACCAGCCAGUCAAUGUCGCCCCCUUUGUUUGGAGGCAUCAGCAAGCUCCAAUCAUCAACUUUUUCCUUCUUCUCCCCCUUUUCUCCUUUGAAAACCCUGUAAAUUAAUCAAGCUGGCGCCGGCCAGUGUAUGUAUGUAGGAUCGGCAUGAGGUGCUAGAAUCAUUGCAGUUCGGCGGAGGGAAUGAUACAUGGAUUGGACCAACGAUAUUAGUUGUUGUUAGUUUUUCCGGAUGAUGAUUCUUUUCUGGUGUGAGGGGGGAAUGAUAUGUGUUGAUGUGACUUGAGAGGCUUGCAAAGCUGUCAUCAUAUGCUUGCCUUUCUGGUGAUGUGGUUCAGAAGCUACAUGAUGCCUCCAUUUGCUUCACUCAUUGCUUGGCUUGUUGCUGUGGCCAUGAAAUGGAAAGUGAAGCCCAGUG